GCUAGGUAUGGUGAUACAUACCUGUAAUCCCAGCUACUUGGGAGCCUGAGGCAGAAGAAUCACUUGAACCCAGGAGGUGGAGGUUGCAGUGAGCUGAGAUCAUGCCACUGAACUCCAUCCUGGGUGACAGAGUGAGACUCUGUCUCAA
rnacentral:sRNA from 1 species